AUGCACGCUGGCGGCGUGCUUAACCCCUGCCAGUCGAACGAAGCACUUUAACCUGAUUCUUCGGAUGAAGGUUUUUGUGACUGAGUGGCGGACGGGUGAGUAACGCGUGGGUAACCUGCCUCAUACAGGGGGAUAACAGUUAGAAAUGACUGCUAAUACCGCAUAAGACCACAGAGCCGCAUGGCUCGGUGGGAAAAACUCCGGUGGUAUGAGAUGGACCCGCGUCUGAUUAGGUAGUUGGUGGGGUAACGGCCUACCAAGCCAACGAUCAGUAGCCGACCUGAGAGGGUGACCGGCCACAUUGGGACUGAGACACGGCCCAAACUCCUACGGGAGGCAGCAGUGGGGAAUAUUGCACAAUGGGGGAAACCCUGAUGCAGCGACGCCGCGUGAGCGAAGAAGUAUUUCGGUAUGUAAAGCUCUAUCAGCAGGGAAGAAAAUGACGGUACCUGACGAAGAAGCACCGGCUAAAUACGUG
rnacentral:rRNA from 1 species